UCACUUCAGCAGCAAAUAUACUAAAAUUGGAAAGAUACAGAGAAUAUUAGCAUGGCCGUUGCAUAAGGAUGACACACAAAUUUAUAAAGUGUUCUAUAUUUUU
rnacentral:snRNA from 1 species